AGUGAACGCAGGCGGUAGGCCUAACACAUGCAAGUCGAACGGCAGCACAGUAAGAGCUUGCUCUUACGGGUGGCGAGUGGCGGACGGGUGAGGAAUACAUCGGAAUCUACUUUUUCGUGGGGGAUAACGUAGGGAAACUUACGCUAAUACCGCAUACGACCUACGGGUGAAAGCAGGGGAUCUUCGGACCUUGCGCGAUUGAAUGAGCCGAUGUCGGAUUAGCUAGUUGGCGGGGUAAAGGCCCACCAAGGCGACGAUCCGUAGCUGGUCUGAGAGGAUGAUCAGCCACACUGGAACUGAGACACGGUCCAGACUCCUACGGGAGGCAGCAGUGGGGAAUAUUGGACAAUGGGCGCAAGCCUGAUCCAGCCAUACCGCGUGGGUGAAGAAGGCCUUCGGGUUGUAAAGCCCUUUUGUUGGGAAAGAAAAGCAGCAGGUUAAUACCCCGCUGUUCUGACGGUACCCAAAGAGUAAGCACCGGCUAACUUCGUG
rnacentral:rRNA from 1 species